AUUGAACGCUGGCGGCAGGCUUAACACAUGCAAGUCGAGCGGGGAAAGGUAGCUUGCUACUUGACCUAGCGGCGGACGGGUGAGUAAUGCUUAGGAAUCUGCCUAUUAGUGGGGGACAACAUCUCGAAAGGGAUGCUAAUACCGCAUACGUCCUACGGGAGAAAGCAGGGGACCUUCGGGCCUUGCGCUAAUAGAUGAGCCUAAGUCGGAUUAGCUAGUUGGUGGGGUAAAGGCCUACCAAGGCGACGAUCUGUAGCGGGUCUGAGAGGAUGAUCCGCCACACUGGGACUGAGACACGGCCCAGACUCCUACGGGAGGCAGCAGUGGGGAAUAUUGGACAAUGGGGGGAACCCUGAUCCAGCCAUGCCGCGUGUGUGAAGAGGGCCUUUUGGUUGUAAAGCACUUUAAGCGAGGAGGAGGCUACCGAGAUUAAUACUCUUGGAUAGUGGACGUUACUCGCAGAAUAAGCACCGGCUAACUCUGUGCCAGCCGCCGCGGUAAGAC
rnacentral:rRNA from 1 species